CGCAGGGACGCGAGGUUAGAGAGUUAGAGCGCGGCUGCGUGGGGUUGCCGGACGCCUGCCAUUCCCGCUGGUGUUGGUUCUGCAGCCCUCGGCGAAGGGAGCCACUCAUCAUUUCCGACAGAUGCGUCGGGGCCGCCCGCCGCCCUAGCCAGGGUCUCCAUACCCUGCAAGGAGAAAAAAAAGGAAAAGUGCGCCAGAGGAGAGUCCUGUGUCCCGAGAAAACCGCCAGCCAGCCAGGGUGAGGCAACCCCACCGCUUCAGUUCUCACGGUCCCGCAGCUGGCCCCCUAGACCCACUGUACUCCAGUUCAUUCUCUUUUUUGGUCAGAGUCCAGAGCCCCAAAGCCACCCGGGAUGUGGCUGGUCAGGAGGUGAGGGACUGAAUGUUCUUGAGCAUUUCGUCAAAGGCCUGUGGGGACGGCGCAUCUGCGUUCCGGAAGGUGGCCUGGACCCGGCUGUACAGGCUGAAGGAUUUCAGCUCCAGCCAGACAAACCCGAAGCGGUCCUCGUCGAAGAGGAUGAAGACCCCAGGGGUGCGUUCAGGGCUGGUGAAGCCAUGGCCCGCGAUGAGGCCUGUGCCAUAGAAACUGAAUAGAGACAAGAGGUUAAGUGAGAGUUGGGGGAGGGCUGAGUCAAAUGCACCUCAAGUCUGGCAUUCUGGGAUGUCCCUCCGUGCCACAAGAGCCACAUCCACUAUUCAUCAGCCACAAGCUGACUCCGAGAGCCAGCCUGUCUCUACAGGGGCAGCUCGGGGUGCGGGCUGAAACUCUCUCUGCAAGGGUAGCUGGGGGUGUGUGCUGAGCCUGCCUCUGCAGGGGUAGCUAAGGGCACAGGUCAAGUCCACCUGAUGAUGGACGCAGAGGCCAGACCUCCGGGCUGCUUGGGGUAUGGGCACUGAUGCGCAGCACCUGGGAGAGGGAUUCACUCACUGACUGCACGCUGUGCUGCCUCACCAAACUGAAACAAGAGGUCUCUGCAGGCCCAAAGAGUUCUAUUCCAAACACACAUUUCAUACCAGGCCCAACAUGGAAAAAUCUUCAUUUCUGGGAGUUAUGUCCCCAUACAAACAAUGAGGUAUAACAGAUAGCCAGCAGCUGACAUUCACUCGGCGAAGAACUUGCAAACACCCAUUUAUGGUUCUGAGGUCAGCAUCAAACGGGGAGACACUUACGGCUGUCCUGCAAGCAGCCGAAUUCUUCCAACAGACGGCGAGAGUCACCCCGCCACAAAGGCUCCAAAGGCCUGGCGGGGGAGUGCCCCCUUGGACCAGGGCCGAGAGGUAGGUACAGUCGUCAGCACUGUGCUCGCAAAACAGCAAGAGGCAUUCUCUGUACAGAUGCUGUGGCCAGGCCCUUCAGACCCAUAAACCAGACAGGGAAGGCCCGGGGAGCUCCCAUAUUCAGCAUGGGGUGGACUGUCCUGCAGGUUAGCUGGGAAGAGGGGCUGGAGGGUUCUCUGGUCAGUGGCCACAGCACAUGCUGUGACCUGCAAACUGGCUCUGAGCCGGUUGUGAGGUAUUAGGAGUUUUGACAUUUUUGAAGGGUAGCAGAGCUUUUUCCUUUUAUGCUAUUCAAACAUUUACACAACACUACAA